AUGUCAGUUUUUAAAUUACCCAAAAGUAUUUGUAAGGCAAUUACAGAUGAGCUGGCAGGCUUUUGGUGGGGUGAUAGUGAGGAGAAGAAGAAGAUGCAUUGGUUUGCAUGGUGGAAGUUAUGCAUCCCGAAGAAUAAGGGUGGAUUGGGGUUUAGGGACUUACACAGUUUUAAUCUUGCUUUGUUAGCAAAACAGCGUUGGCGCCUACUCCAGAACCCUGAAUCUUUGUGUGCACGAGUUCUAAGUGCAAAGUACUACCCUGAUGGAAACAUUCUCAUGGCAGGACCAAAAAAGGGAUCCUCAUUUACUUGGCAAAGUAUUAUAGCGGGUUUACAAAUUUUUAAGAGAGGGUGCAUCUGGCGUGUGGGUACGGGAUCACAAAUCAAUAUCUGGAAUGAUCCUUGGAUACCCACAAAUGAUAGUAGGAAAAUCAUAACUCCAAGGGGAGCAACUAUGUUGAGCAAGGUGGAGGAAUUAAUUGAUCCUUAUACUGGACAAUGGGAUGAGCAUUUGAUCGAGAAGUGUUUUGGCAGGUUGAUGUACACCGGAUCCUACAAAUUCCUCUUCAAGUGCAGCUGCUUGAAGACUUUGUAG
rnacentral:rRNA from 1 species